GAUGAAGAACGUAGCGAAAUGCGAUACUUGGUGUGAAUUGCAGAAUCCCGUGAACCAUCGAGUCUUUGAACGCAAGUUGCGCCCCUUGGUAUUCCGAGGGGCAUGCCUGUUCGAGCGUCAUUAUAACCCCUCAAGCUCAGCUUGGUGUUGGGGCCUGCUGCACUGGCAGCCCUUAAAAUCAGUGGCGGCGCCAUCUGGCUCUAAGCGUAGUAAUUCUUCUCGCUAUGGAGUCCUGGUGGAUGCUUGCCAUCAACCCCCAAUUUUUCUAUGGUUGACCUCGGAUCAGGUAGGGAUACCCGCUGAACUUAAGCAUAUCAAUAAGCGGAGGA
rnacentral:misc_RNA from 1 species